rnacentral:rRNA from 1 species
UACAGAGGUCUCAAGCGUUGUUCGGAUUCAUUGGGCGUAAAGGGGUGCGCAGGCGGCGCGGUAAGUCGGGUGUGAAAUCUCGGAGCUUAACUCCGAAACUGCAUUCGAUACUGCCGUGCUUGAGGACUGGAGAGGAGACUGGAAUUUACGGUGUAGCGGUGAAAUGCGUAGAUAUCGUAAGGAAGACCAGUGGCGAAGGCGGGUCUCUGGACAGUUCCUGACGCUGAGGCACGAAGGCCAGGGGAGCAAACGGG